ensembl:lncRNA
CAUUAAUGUUUGCUUUUGUACCUCAUACAUUUGAAACCAGACUUUAGAAAGCCGGCUGGAAAAAAAUAAAAUAAUUGCAGUAUACCAAGGACUGAAAACGUGAUGAUCAGUUGCAGAAGUCUCAUUGACUCUACUGGGAUCACCUAACUACCUUCCCCUCUGUGUCAUACACUCUGUCCCUGAGCUGGGAAUUGCAAAGGAGGAGCACAGGCAAAGGUCACGCCACAAAGGGGAGAAACUGGGGCUGACAGAAAUGGCCAUCCUUUCCUUGGAGAAUUAUACUACAAUGAUUUGGAUAAGUAAAAAUAUGUGCAUGAAGCUGAUCCACGGGCAAAUAGCAACUCUGUGGCAAAGGGGAAAACAAUGUCCCUUAAAAAUCCUAAUAGCAUGUCAGCCCCUACACAAUCAUUUCUUGCUGGAUUUCUGCUCAAGAAGAUGUGGUACCCAAAAAUGUGCCCGCAUUUGCUGCUGUGGAAACAUGGCAUGGCUUCCCUUACCUUUGCAAUGUAAAGAGUUUUUGGCUGCACAUGAAGGAGAAGUUUUGGCUUUUCAGAACUUGAGAAUAUUAAGGUCCUGCAAGUAGAACACCCCAAAGACUUCGUCACUGCUGAAAUCCAUUGUCUAAAGAAGACUGUGAACACAGCAAAAGAUGAGUUUCCCAGGCUCUGGAGAUGCAGGAUGUGGUGUUUGGGGGUCUAGAAAAAUGUUUUUUGGAUAACUGGGAGACUAUUGCAUGAAAUCUGCGCUGGCUGCUGCACUACGUCCUUAUGCAAAAUUGGUGGCUUCUUUUCUGAAUUAAGUGAUGGAAUGACGUGGUGAGGUAUUGGUUUGAGAGAGGAGGUAACGUCAAAGGGAAAGGAGGUGCUCUGGCAUAUGUAAGAUGAAAAAAAAAAGAGGGUAUUCCUGAAAGAAGAAUGCACAUCAGUCAAAGGCAUCAAUAAAUAAAGCUCUUUUUCAUAUGUAAAUGGGAAUUUAUAAAGUAAAGAAGCACAUGAACCUCUCUGCCUUGUUUUUAUUGAAUGGAAAUGCUACAUAACUACUGCAAGGAGGCUGAGACGGAAACUGGACCAGAAGCAUUAACCAGCUCAAAUGAGAAAUACAAACUAAAAACCUGUCUGUCCGUUUUGGAAACAUGCAGAUAAUGUGUAUGUCACUUGAAAUUCACAUGCAUUUGGGAUCUGCUAAGAAAAGUAAUAUACAGCAAUGAUAUCUUUGAUCAUCGAGAGAACUCAGAAACAUAGGAACUGUGUCGAGUGUGGUUAUCAUCAACCCAUUUUCUAUUCCCAGUGCACAAAUCAUUUCAUGCAUUCUACAACCCAAGCCACGAUGCUGGGCUUCAAAAGCAAUUUCAGCAGCAAAAUAAGGUGCUUUUCUUCAAUUUUCAAGCCAUUUGUACGAGGUUAGUGUUGUUUACCCACCUGGUACACUGAUAUUUACAUACUCCUUUAAAGAAAAUUGGU